rfam:Calypte anna contig58877, whole genome shotgun sequence.
GAAGUUACCUGGCAGGGGAGACACCAUGAUCAAGCAGGUGGUUUUCCCAUGGCGAGGCUCAUCCCCUACACUCCGGGUGUGCUGACCCCUGUGAUUUCCCCAAAUGCAGGAAGCUCGACUGCAUAAUUUGUGGUAGUGGGGGACUGCGUUUAAAAAAAAAUAUUUUUUUUUUAAUUUCUGG